GACGAACGCUGGCGGCGUGCCUAAUACAUGCAAGUCGAGCGGACAGAAGGGAGCUUGCUCCCGGAAGUUAGCGGCGGACGGGUGAGUAACACGUGGGCAACCUACCCUGUAGAUCGGGAUAACAUCGAGAAAUCGGUGCUAAUACCGGAUAAUCAUUUGAAGUGCAUGCUUCGAAUGUAAAAGUUGGCUCCGGCUAGCACUACGGGAUGGGCCCGCGGCGCAUUAGCUAGUUGGUAAGGUAAUGGCUUACCAAGGCAACGAUGCGUAGCCGACCUGAGAGGGUGAUCGGCCACACUGGGACUGAGACACGGCCCAGACUCCUACGGGAGGCAGCAGUAGGGAAUCUUCCGCAAUGGACGAAAGUCUGACGGAGCAACGCCGCGUGAGUGAUGAAGGUUUUCGGAUCGUAAAGCUCUGUUGUUAGGGAAGAACAAGUGCCGUUUGAAUAAGGCGGCACCUUGACGGUACCUAACCAGAAAGCCACGGCUAACUACAUGCCAGCCGCCGCCGUAAAAC
rnacentral:rRNA from 1 species